AGUGAACGCUGGCGGUAGGCCUAACACAUGCAAGUCGAACGGCAGCACAGUAAGAGCUUGCUCUUACGGGUGGCGAGUGGCGGACGGGUGAGGAAUACAUCGGAAUCUACUUUUUCGUGGGGGAUAACGUAGGGAAACUUACGCUAAUACCGCAUACGACCUACGGGUGAAAGCAGUGGAUCUUCGGACCUUUCGCGAUUGAAUGAGCCGAUGUCGGAUUAGCUAGUUGGCGGGGUAAAGGCCCACCAAGGCGACGAUCCGUAGCUGGUCUGAGAGGAUGAUCAGCCACACUGGAACUGAGACACGGUCCAGACUCCUACGGGAGGCAGCAGCGGGGAAUAUUGGACAAUGGGCGCAAGCCUGAUCCAGCCAUACCGCGUGGGUGAAGAAGGCCUUCGGGUUGUAAAGCCCUUUUGUUGGGAAAGAAAAGCAGCAGGUUAAUACCCCGCUGUUCUGACGGUACCCAAAGAAUAAGCACCGGCUAACUUCGUG
rnacentral:rRNA from 1 species